rnacentral:rRNA from 1 species
UACGUAGGGGGCAAGCGUUGUCCGGAUUUAUUGGGCGUAAAGAGCGUGUAGGCGGCUUGGUAGGUCUUGCGUCAAAACCUGAGGCUCAACCUCAGUUCGCGUGGGAAACCACCUAGCUAGAGUCCGGAAGAGGAGAACGGAAUUCCCAGUGUAGCGGUGAAAUGCGCAGAUAUUGGGAAGAACACCAGUGGCGAAGGCGGUUCUCUGGAACGGUACUGACGCUGAGACGCGAAAGCGUGGGGAGCGAACAGG